rnacentral:rRNA from 1 species
GAUCUUGGUUCAGGAUGAACGCUGGCGGCGUGCUUAACACAUGCAAGUCGAACGAAGCCAAAAGGAAGCUUGCUUCUUGAAGCUUAGUGGCGGACGGGUGAGUAACGCGUGAGUAACCUGCCCUUCAGUGGGGAAUAACACAGAGAAAUCUGUGCUAAUACCGCAUAACGUCUUCUUGCCGCAUGACAGGAAGACCAAAGGAUUUAUUCGCUGAAGGAUGGACUCGCGUCCGAUUAGCUAGUUGGUGAGGUAACGGCCCACCAAGGCGACGAUCGGUAGCCGAACUGAGAGGUUGAUCGGCCACAUUGGGACUGAGACACGGCCCAGACUCCUACGGGAGGCAGCAGUGGGGAAUAUUGGGCAAUGGGCGAAAAAGCCUGACCCAGCAACGCCGCGUGAAGGAAGACGGUCUUCGGAUUGUAAACUUCUUUGAUUGGGGAAGAAACAAAUGACCUACCCAAAGAACAAGUCACGGCUAACUACGUGCCAGCAGCGGC